GUUUGAGGAAAGCGACGGAGAAAGACGCACGCAGGACACAAUGGCGCAGCUUUGAGUGAUAAGAUAAGUUUCCUGGACUAUUUUGGAUAGUUUCAGUUCCAAGUUUGUCCUGCAGUUUUAUAUGUAUUUUUUGCACUUUCAGGCGGUUGGUUUAGCACUGAACUGCUGGCAUUCGCUAGCUAAAUAGAUGUCGCACACAGGAAGCGUAGUUUAGCCGGCUGCAUCUUCAGCAUUCCGGCCUGGAUAUGGAUACUAGUCCUAAAUUAAGCGGUAAUAGUCUGAAGAGUGGCUUUGGAUUACAGUAUUUGAUGUUUCCCUUUUCCUGCACCUGGAUAUUUCUCAUUGGGAUGUAACCUUGGACCAGGAGACAUCGCCAUCUUAGGUCAUCGGUUGGUCUUUCCUCUUCACCUGAACUGGAACCUGAGACUGGAUACUGAACUGCUAAACCAGAUCUAUCAUUCACUGCCAUGGCAUGCAGCAUCUCUGGAUUGGCACUUCUGAUGAGCCGUGGGGGGCUUACGCUGCUGUCAAACAGACUCUUUGUGACAACUCGACACUUGUGGACACAGCAGUCAUUAUGACCAGUUAUAGUGAGCAGAGGAGCUCAUCUGAUGGGUCUGUGAGUUCUGCAGGACUGAUGAGCAAAGAAGACGUGGUGAGUU